GACGAACGCUGGCGGCGUGCCUAAUACAUGCAAGUCGAACGCAGGGGGGACGGGUGAGUAACACGUGGGUAACCUCCCGUCAGAGGGGAUAACACUUGGAAACAGGUGCUAAACCCAUACUGGUGGAUGGACCCGCGGGGGAUUAGCUAGUGGGUGGGGUAACGGCUCACCAAGGCCACGAUGCAUAGCCGGCCGGAGAGGGUGAUCGGCCACACUGGGACUGAGACACGGCCCAGACUCCUACGGGAGGCAGCAGUAGGGAAUCUUCGACAAUGGGCGAAAGUCUGACCGAGCAACGCCGCGUGAGUGAAGAAGGUUUUCGGAUCGUAAAACUCUGUUGUUAGAGAAGCGGUAUCUAACCAGAAAGCCACGGCUAACUACGUGCCAGCAGCCGCGGUAAUAC
rnacentral:rRNA from 1 species